UACAGAGGUGGCAAGCGUUGUUCGGAAUUACUGGGCGUAAAGGGCGCGUAGGCGGUUCGUUAAGUCCUGUGUGAAAUCCCCCGGCUCAACUGGGGAACUGCACAGGAAACUAGCGGGCUUGAGUUCGGGAGAGGGAAGCGGAAUUCCGGGUGUAGCGGUGAAAUGCGUAGAUAUCCGGAGGAACACCGGUGGCGAAGGCGGCUUCCUGGACCGACAGCUGA
rnacentral:rRNA from 1 species